rnacentral:misc_RNA from 3 species
AAUUCUCAACCUCACCAGUUUUCUGAACUGACUGAGGCUUGGAUGUGGGGGUUUGUGCAGGCUGCCUCACCGGCGGUCUGCUCCCCUGAAAUGCAUUAGCGAGGUUCAUGCUGGACCUCCGUCUAUUGGUGUGAUAAUUAUCUACGCCGUGGACGAGGAUACAGACUCGCUUCUAACCGUCCGCGAGGACAAUACCUUGACA